UGGAAGUGAUGAAAUAGAGAUAAUUGGAUGUCUCUUUGAAUGGAGUGUGUGGGGGUGGGGGUAGGGAAUGUGUGUGUGUAUGCCUGCAUGUAUAGAAAAGGCUUUGAAUGGGGGCACUGAUAAUGCAGUGCUGAUUCCGGAGUGCAUCUGAGGCAUGUUGUUAAGUUCUGGGGUGCCACUUUACAACAUUGCCAAUGAUUAAAGCCCAAAAGAAGCCCACCAGGAUAAGCCUAGGCAUCCGAAAUCUCUGACAGGUUCAUUAAUGAAAGUGAUCCUGUGAUCUGAUCUGA
rnacentral:snoRNA from 1 species